rnacentral:lncRNA from 1 species
GUUGUUCAUCUCCACCCUGGACAUUUCUGAUGAUGACAUUUCGAUACUCAAACCGGUUUAUGAGGGAACAAAGAAAGAGGAUAAGUAUAAGAUUGUGUGGAUCCCCAUUGUGGAGCAUUGGACUGAUGAGCUACGAAAGAAGUUCGAGCUCUUGCGGGCCAAGAUGCCGUGGUACACGGUGCAGUAUUUUGCACCUGUAGCCGGCAUCAGGUUCAUCAAGGAGGAGUGGCACUUCAAGGGUAAGCCUGCAGUGGUGG